AGAGUUUGAUCCUGGCUCAGAUUGAACGCUGGCGGCAUGCCUUACACAUGCAAGUCGAACGGCAGCACGGGAGCAAUCCUGGUGGCGAGUGGCGAACGGGUGAGUAAUGUAUCGGAACGUACCUUUCAGUGGGGGAUAACGUAGCGAAAGUUACGCUAAUACCGCAUAUUCUGUGAGCAGGAAAGCAGGGGAUCGCAAGACCUUGCGCUGAUUGAGCGGCCGAUAUCAGAUUAGCUAGUUGGUGAGGUAAAGGCUCACCAAGGCGACGAUCUGUAGCGGGUCUGAGAGGAUGAUCCGCCACACUGGAACUGAGACACGGUCCAGACUCCUACGGGAGGCAGCAGUGGGGAAUUUUGGACAAUGGGCGCAAGCCUGAUCCAGCCAUGCCGCGUGAGUGAAGAAGGCCUUCGGGUUGUAAAGCUCUUUCAGCCGGGAAGAAAGCGCAUGGGUUAAUACCCUGUGUGGAUGACGGUACCGGAAUAAGAAGCACCGGCUAACUACGUGCCAGCAGCCGCGGUAAUACGUAGGGUGCGAGCGUUAAUCGGAAUUACUGGGCGUAAAGCGUGCGCAGGCGGUUUGUUAAGAUAGGCGUGAAAUCCCCGGGCUCAACCUGGGAACUGCGUUUAUGACUGGCAGGCUAGAGUAUGGCAGAGGGGGGUGGAAUUCCACGUGUAGCAGUGAAAUGCGUAGAGAUGUGGAGGAACACCGAUGGCGAAGGCAGCCCCCUGGGCCAAUACUGACGCUCAUGCACGAAAGCGUGGGUAGCAAACAGGAUUAGAUACCCUGGUAGUCCACGCCCUAAACGAUGUCAACUAGGUGUUGGGAGGGUAAAACCUUUUAGUACCGGAGCUAACGCGUGAAGUUGACCGCCUGGGGAGUACGGCCGCAAGGUUAAAACUCAAAGGAAUUGACGGGGACCCGCACAAGCGGUGGAUGAUGUGGAUUAAUUCGAUGCAACGCGAAAAACCUUACCUACCCUUGACAUGUCCGGAAGCCCUUAGAGAUUUGGGUGUGCUCGAAAGAGAGCCGGAACACAGGUGCUGCAUGGCUGUCGUCAGCUCGUGUCGUGAGAUGUUGGGUUAAGUCCCGCAACGAGCGCAACCCUUGUCGUUAAUUGCCAUCAUUCAGUUGGGCACUUUAACGAGACUGCCGGUGACAAACCGGAGGAAGGUGGGGAUGACGUCAAGUCCUCAUGGCCCUUAUGGGUAGGGCUUCACACGUCAUACAAUGGUCGGUACAAAGGGUCGCCAACCCGCGAGGGGGAGCUAAUCCCAGAAAGCCGAUCGUAGUCCGGAUCGUAGGCUGCAACUCGCCUGCGUGAAGU
rnacentral:rRNA from 1 species